CUCAAAUCCUAGCUCCGCCACUGCCGCGUGGGUGUGCGGCGUCUUCUCGCGCGUCCAGGAGCUGAGCAGGCUACGCAGGAGGCAGCAGGCUUCAAGCGCCAAGGUAGCAGCCGUGCAACAACCAGCAAAGAAAAAGAGAUUUACAGUACAAAACAUACCAACUCAAAAGUGGUCUAGCUAUAUCAUUCAGCAAGGAUCCAUGACGAAAGCGACUAAGCUGUUUAUUAGCAGUCUAAUCCUUUUUCUCUUCACUACCCUCUGCAUCCAAGGUGCCGCAGAGUACGACAAUGUCACUGGACACAACCCUGCCCAGACCCUGAUCCAAAUUAGGAGAGGUUGUGUACCGAAUUAUCUAUGUUGCCCUGGGAAGAGUGCAAAAGACUGCUAUCGAACUAAUGUCUGCAUAGAAUUCAGAUGCAACGGCCCUAACCAACCAAUAGGCGCUUGCCAGCAAGCAACGCUAGCUUGCAAUUGUAACAAUUGCUAAAACAACGGAUGGAUGAAUGC